UAGGGGAAGUGACGUCACAGCGCGAUGGCGGCGGCUCCUUCAGGCCCCUGAAGGGGGAUUUAGGCCCGGGAGAUCCGAGUCCAUCCGCGGCGGGGAGAGGGCGAACGGGGUUGGCGGAGGCCGGAGCAGGGGCGGCGGCGCCCGGACUGUCCCAUCCGCCCCGUAUUGAGGCGCUGGGAGCGGCAGGGCGGCCGGAAAGCGAUGGUGAAAGCGGGGCCGUGAGGGGGGCGGAGCCGGCAGCCGGACCCGCAGUAGCGGCAGCAGCGGCGCCGCCUCCCCGAGCUCAGACCCAGGAAGCGGCCGGGAGGGCAGGAGCGAGCCGGGCCGCCGCCGCCAUGGAGCUCAGAGUGGGGAACAGGUACCGGCUGGGCCGGAAGAUCGGCAGCGGGUCCUUCGGAGACAUCUAUCUCGGUACGGACAUUGCUGCGGGAGAAGAAGUUGCCAUCAAGCUUGAAUGUGUCAAAACUAAGCACCCUCAGCUCCACAUCGAGAGCAAAAUCUACAAGAUGAUGCAGGGAGGAGUGGGCAUCCCCACCAUCCGGUGGUGUGGGGCCGAGGGCGACUACAACGUCAUGGUCAUGGAGCUGCUGGGGCCCAGCCUGGAGGACCUCUUCAACUUCUGCUCCAGGAAGUUCAGCCUCAAGACCGUCCUGCUGCUCGCUGACCAGAUGAUCAGCCGCAUCGAGUACAUCCACUCGAAGAACUUCAUCCACCGGGACGUGAAGCCGGACAACUUCCUCAUGGGGCUGGGCAAGAAGGGCAACCUGGUGUACAUCAUCGACUUCGGGCUGGCCAAGAAGUACCGGGACGCCCGCACCCACCAGCACAUCCCCUACCGCGAGAACAAGAACCUCACCGGCACCGCGCGCUACGCCUCCAUCAACACGCACCUCGGCAUCGAACAAUCUCGGAGGGACGACCUGGAAUCUCUGGGCUACGUGCUCAUGUACUUCAACCUGGGCUCGCUGCCCUGGCAGGGCCUGAAGGCGGCCACCAAGCGCCAGAAGUACGAGCGCAUCAGCGAGAAGAAGAUGUCCACGCCCAUCGAGGUGCUCUGCAAAGGCUACCCCUCCGAGUUCGCCACGUACCUGAACUUCUGCCGUUCCCUGCGCUUUGAUGACAAGCCUGACUACUCGUACCUGAGGCAGCUCUUCAGGAACCUGUUCCACCGCCAGGGCUUCUCCUACGACUACGUCUUUGACUGGAACAUGCUCAAGUUUGGAGCCAGCCGGGCAGCCGACGACGCCGAGCGGGAGCGCCGGGACCGAGAGGAGCGGCUGAGACACUCCCGCAACCCAGCCACCCGCGGCCUCCCCUCCACGGCCUCAGGCCGGCUGAGGGGGACCCAGGAGGCGGCCCCUCCCACCCCCCUCACCCCUACCUCACACACGGCGAACACCUCUCCUCGGCCCGUGUCCGGCAUGGAAAGAGAGCGGAAAGUGAGUAUGCGGCUGCACCGCGGGGCCCCCGUCAACAUCUCCUCGUCCGACCUCACGGGCCGGCAAGAUACCUCCCGCAUGUCCACCUCACAGGUACGCGCCCGGCCGCCACCGGGCCCUGCGCUCCGCAGCCGCGUUGCGCGCCGGUCCUGCGGCCCCCGCAGUGGGCGACGGCCUCGGAGGCUUCCUGCUUUCCAUCCUUCUCGCUCUCCCUCUUCGGAGCGUCUGAACUGCCGGGGACCUCGUGUCCCUCGCUACCGUGGGGCCCUCGGUUGAGGGCCCCAGGGACGAGCUCUGGGGCCAGGCUGCGCCCUGGCUGUGCUGGGACGCCCGCUGGCGCCUCUUCUCUUGCGCCGUCUUCCCUGGGCGGACGCCCCCAGCCUGUGGGCGCCUGGUGUUGCAGCGCGCCUGGCCCAGCCUUCGAGCCUCUGUCCUCGCUCUUGUCAGCCGGGCGCUCCACCCCCGCGGAGAGCCCUUGUCGCCCGCCGGCAGUCACUGUAGGGCGUCCUAGGCGCCCGGCGCCAUGUCUUCUCUAGCCACGCCCUGUGCCCACUCGCUCUGCUCGCUGUCCCUGCCCAGCAGCGCCACUCCUCGCCUGCGUGCUGGCAGGUCUUCUGCGCGUGGGUGGCAGGAGGCGGGCAGGGUGAAGAAUGGUCCAGGUGGGCCUCUUCUCUGCUUCAGCCAGUGUCCCGUGGGGCCGGGGUCACCCCAUGCUGUCUGCUGGGGGUAGCUUGUCGGUGAAUUUGGCGGGUUGAGCGUGUUGAUCUGGAGGCACAGGGCCUGUGCGAAGUGCCCAGAGCCUGGUUCUGCAGCGCCGGCUGGCCAGGCAAAGGGCGGGUGUGCCCAGCAGAGGAGGUGCCCCGACCACGUUUUCUUAACUGCGUGAAGUAAACAGGGCACCUGUCGCUUGCUGGCACUUCUACUGGAAACGGGCUGCUGUUCGCCCAUUAAGCUUCUCUCUGGCUGGAGACGCAGCUGGUCGGAAUCAUGGGGCACAGAGGCUCUGGUCAGGGGUUCGAGAUCGGCCCCAUGCGGCUCCCGGCCCCCAGCCAUCCUGCCUCCCUCGGGACACAGAAAGGGCCUCCGGGUGUGUUCCCACGAGCCCUGGAAUGCACGCCUCAGUGGCCUGGCACGGGCCCAGAGCGCCUCGGCUGGGACGAAGGAGGGCAGGCCUCGCUUUGGCUUUAACACAAGGAAGGAUCAGGAAGCGCCAGGGGUUCAGGGGCGCCAGCGCCUCGGGUCUGCGACCACCUCUGCCGCCGGCUCCUUGGGCUUUGCUGCCCAGUCUCCCCGUGAGGGCCUGCCUCUGCUCUCUGUUCUCUCUCUGCUUUCCUACCAAGACGUGUGCCGUGGCUCUGAGGAUGGGGCGCCUCCACUUUGUCCCUCUUCCCCCCGGGGUCUCCUUAGGACCUCUGCGUUGAGGGCACAGCCCCAGUCCCCUCCAUCCAGGACGGCUCUAUCCCUUGGCACUCUUGCUGGCAGGCGCCGUUCCUGGCCGCCAAGGGCCUCCAUGAUCAGGGCUGUUCCAGGCUCGGUCUGGCUUCUUCCCCCAGAGAUGCGAGCGGAGCAGGGGUGGUGACACAGGGGUGCAGGGUCGCAGUGGGCUGGGGUGGCCACUUCCCUAGCCGCCUCUGCCCCUUAGGGAGGAGGCCUGCUGAUCUCAGCUGGGGGCGGGGGGACGUUGGCCUGUGUCCCUGGUCGUGGCUGGAGUGCCGCGGAGACGGCGGAGGGCUGCUGGCGGACGAGCCUGGCGGUGGCGUUUCUCUGAGAAGUGCCCCCUCCGUCCAGUGCUGUCGAGGGACACGAUCCCGGCUCCUGGUGCCAGGGACUGACUUGUGCGAAUCCCUGCCUCCCCUGCCCCCCCGAGGCCCGGAGCCCGGUCUUCUUCCCCGCGUCCAGCCCUCGCGCGCCUGGGCCUCGGGGAGCCGUGGGUGUGAGAGCCGAUGGAGGGGCCGCCGUCGAGGGUCCCGUCCUCUUACAGCCUGAGCCCUGGGGGCGGGCUCCGUGUCGGCAGGUCCAGGGACCACUCUUGAGAGGCCGCUCCGCGGGGAGAGGCCCGGCCGGGGGCCUGGUUCGCGCAGGCAGCGCUGGUGCAGGAGGAAGGAGGAGGGGCCUCCGUGCUGGUCCCGCCGCGAACCCUCCCCAACAGCUGUCUUUUCCCCCCACCUCAGAAUAGCAUUCCUUUCGAACACCACGGCAAGUAGCUGCACGGCUCCCGUCGGAAGGCAGCGCUGGAUUGCCGGUCGGGUGGCUGCCAGCGGUCUCCAGUCCGCCGUGCACCGGUGAGAGCGCUCCUUUGGCUGAGGGCAGACAUGCAUGGCCGACCUACUCUGUUAUAGUGACACGCCCCGGUCUAGAACCGAACCGUUACCACCGGGAGCUCUCCAGGCCACCCACCCAGCGACGCCCACGGGGAAACAAACACAAACCCAACCGGACAGACUGCACGCGCUGCCAUCGCCAGGGGCUGCGCCGAGGCCCCGCGAGCUCGGUGGCAGCGGGGCUGGGAAGAAGAGAGACGAGCGCAGAGAGAAUCAGACUCCCAUCCAAGAGCCUCUUGGUCCGGUCCCUCGGGUGGCGGCGCGCCCGUGCCCCUGCCGAGUCUGCCGUAACCACCGACCUUCUACUCGGCUAAGACAGUUUUGUAUCAUUUUGCUAAAAAUUAUUGGCUUAAAUCUGUGUAAAGAAACCUGUCUUUUUAUUGUUUCUUUCCUGUCUGUUUUGCUGUCUGUAAAGAAAUCCGAAGCAGACGCUGGCGUGGAGUCUGGGAGGGCAGGCCGGGCGCGGAGGAGCCCACGGGGCCUCCCGGUCUGUGUCUCGUGCUGUCUUGUGCGGGCCGCUUGGGAGCCUGGCACGUGUAUACGCGUGUGUAAGUAACGUGUGUGUCCGUGUGUGCCUGUGUCUCGUGACCUCCCUGACCCUCCCUGCCAUCCCCGUGGACUGAAGCGCCUGCUCACAGUGGACCCGCUGGGCACUCGAGUCGUCAGAGCGAUUGGACAGUGCCGGCGACAGCGCGGGCGCAGCAGGUGCCUCCCGAUUGAGCAGCCACGGCGAGGAGGAAGCUGAGCCUGGAGACGUGGGGCCCUCCUGGGGGCGGGGUGCUUGUUUCAGUGGCGGGUGCCUCCGCGCCUUCGCGUCUGGGAGGUUCUCUAAACAGACUGUCGGCGUUAAUAGCGCAGACUGGUCUUCCGUCCGUGUUAGCAUCCGGAUGAAUGGCCAAGGGCUGUGGCGUCCGCCCCGGAUGCCAGCUUUGCCCAGGCCCAGGCAGGCCGGCGCACCCAGGGGGAUCGGCUCUGAAGUGCCGCGAAGCAGGGGACUCUUGACAGCCUGACCACCCAGCAGGGCGAGGGUCUGGAUGGGGGUGGGGGCCUGGGCAGCCAGGGGCCUGAAAGGCGUCCGUGUCCUGGGACACCCUGACUGCCGAGUGGCCGGCCCGGAGCACAGCCGUUUGCGUCUUUCCGAAUCCCGAGCCGGCUGCUCCGUGUGUUGGGGCGCGGGCACUCGGCCGCGUGGGCUGAGACCCAGGAGGGUCAGCGCGAGCUGCCCAGUGCCUUGCGCAGAGGGCGCCUGCCUUCCCGGGGAGGCAUUGGCAGCUGCGGCCCUCGCCCCGCGCCGCGGCUGCAACGUCUGCAUCGCCUGUGUGCCGGCGGCCGGUCCCUGCGCUGCGCUUCUGUUGGAUCACUGUACCCGUGUCCACCCUCCGUGUAAAUAAUAAACUCGUGACCACUUCCACCUCUGCUCCCUGA